CCUACGGGCGGCAGCAGUGAGGAAUAUUGGUCAAUGGUCGUAAGACUGAACCAGCCAAGUCGCGUGAAGGAUGACGGUCCUAAGCAUUGUAAACUUCUUUUAUCCGGGGACAAAAUGCGUCACGAGUGCCGUUUUGAAUGUACCUCAUGAAUAAGCAUCGGCUAAAUCCGUGCCAGCAGCCGCGGUAAUACGGAGGGUACGGGCGUUAUCCGGAUUUAUUGGGUUUAAAGGGUGCGUAGGCGGGGUGUUAAGUCUGCGGUUAAAUGCCGUGGCUCAACCCUGGCACGGCGGUGGAACCUGGCUGGCUUGAGUUGGCGAGAGGUAUGCGGAAUGCGUGGUGUAGCGGUGAAAUGCUUAGAUAUCGCGAAGAACUCCGAUUGCGAAGGCAGCAUACCGGAGCGGUACUGACGCUGAGGCACGAAGGCGUGGGUAUCGAACAGGAUUAGAUACCCGGGUAGUC
rnacentral:rRNA from 1 species